GCGAGAUGUCAAUCAGGCUUGCAUGACUAGCAUCAAGGAGCGGAGGAUCUAAUAAACAGGAUUUGAAAAACAGCUUCAUGAAAUGCUACUUGAAGAAAAUGUCUCUUUGUCAGGCGCAGGACUCUCACAUGGACUUCAAAGAGAACUGACUUGGGGAACUGACUAGAAGGAAAAUCCUACAACAAGAAUAUUAGACUUGACCAGCAUAAGUAAUGCUUCAAGUGGGAACCAUCUUGGUAUCCUCCUCUGACCGGGCACUGCAGAAUAAAUGUGCUUCAAAGAGGAGCCUCCUAAACACUGAGCUAACUCUGGUAAUACAAGUAUCAAUCUCAUCAUCCACAUGGAGAGCCUUGGAGAGUGUACUGCCAGGAGACAAGAGAAUUAUAGCUAUCUUGUUCCAGAGUCAGAUUUGGAAACUAUUUCAUUUUACCUGUUUCCUAAGACAAUGACGAGACAGAUUCUGAGAUAACCACAACACUGACAAAUUUGUGCAAUUGCUCAGCUCAUUUCCAAGCAUCUCCUGUACUAAUGGAUAAAGCCCAAGAGGUGUUUUGGGAGGUUCAAGCUGUGCUAAAGAACUAGAGAACUAGAACACAGAAUGGCUUGCUCUAGAGAACAAUUCCUGGACCCAAAAGAAAGCACACCAAUUAAACACUAGUUUCCAAUGAGCUGAUCAACUUUUCAAUCAAUUGAGUGAGCAUCUCAGAAGUAAUUUAGGCUGGAAAAAGAAAAUUUCAAGUAUAUGAAGCCCAGCGUUCACAACAGGAAGACGAGAAGCUACCCAGGGUAAAAGUAGUAACUAAAAGAGAUGAUUCUUAAUUCUAAUUCUCCUUCAAAUAGUCCAACACACUUCACAUGCCACUAACCAAACUAACAUGUCCCUUACUUUCAUUUUUUUAAUUUAAAAUUUUUGCAUCUACACUCAUUAAUAAAACUGUCCUACAAUUUUCUUUCUCUGUUUUU
rnacentral:lncRNA from 1 species